GUCUUUGUAGCGUAAUAGGUCAGCGAAUUCGGCUGUUAACUGAAAGGAUGGUGGUUCAAGUCCACUCAGGGAUG
rnacentral:tRNA from 1 species